GAUGAACGCUGGCGGCGUGCCUAAUACAUGCAAGUCGAGCGAACAGACGAGGAGCUUGCUCCUCUGACGUUAGCGGCGGACGGGUGAGUAACACGUGGAUAACCUACCUAUAAGACUGGGAUAACUUCGGGAAACCGGAGCUAAUACCGGAUAGUAUAUUGAACCGCAUGGUUCAAUAGUGAAAGACGGUUUUGCUGUCACUUAUAGAUGGAUCCGCGCCGCAUUAGCUAGUUGGUAAGGUAACGGCUUACCAAGGCAACGAUGCGUAGCCGACCUGGGAGGGUGAUCGGCCACACUGGAACUGAGACACGGUCCAGACUCCUACGGGAGGCAGCAGUAGGGAAUCUUCCGCAAUGGGCGAAAGCCUGACGGAGCAACGCCGCGUGAGUGAUGAAGGUCUUCGGAUCGUAAAACUCUGUUAUUAGGGAAGAACAAAUGUGUAAGUAACUAAGCACGUCUUGACGGUACCUAAUCAGAAAGCCACGGCUAACUACGUGCCAGCAGCCGCGGUAA
rnacentral:rRNA from 1 species